CAAGCCGACUCGCCUCUCUUUAUAAGCAGCCGCGCUAGUGCUGGAAAUCACUUCCAAAAAUCGAUUCACUCUCUUUUUCUAUUGUUCUCGUCUUUGUAGAUGUAAAUUCUUUGUUUUGAAGUUUGUUUUUCUGCUUUGUUUCGCUUAGAAGAUGAAUGGGGGACGGUGACGAUUUCAGCAUGAAAGGUCUCGUUCGUCGUAAUUGGCCAACAGGCCUUGACGACCAUCCUGCUAUAUCACCACCCAUAUUCCGAGUCCCCCUUCUUCAAUCUCAAUUUUUUUUUUCUUUUUUCUUAAUAUGAUUGAGAAUCGGCCGAUGAUCGAACAACAUUUAAAGACAAGCAUAUGUCUGAAAUUAUCAAUGUUGAUCAAUCUAAUCUUCUUUCUGAGGCCUAUAUUUUUUUUAAGCUUAGUACUGAAAAGUAGUCGUGUUUCUUCUUUGCUUCUCCAGUGAUGAAAGAAAUGGUAUAUUUUGUCACAUAUGAUAAAUCUGUGAUUACUUGCAUACCACUACUGCCUUCCUUCUGAGGCUUAUUAAUCUCUUGCUUUUUAUUUCUUAUUUGUUUGUUUUUUUUUAAAUUACCUCAUUAUUAAAUUGUAGAAAAUGGGUCAUAUGAUGAUCGUAAGCAUAGUUCAACUGAUAAUCUUUGUGAUUAAGAAACUUUUGUCUUUCGCUCCUAUCUGAUGAUCCAUUUAUGUGAAAUAAAUUUUCUUGUUGCCACAUUCAGGAUCUCAAUUUGGGUGUUUCAAUUAUACGAACUAAGUGGGGUUUUGAAUGACCUAGACAUUUGUUUUUCCUGGCUUACUUGCCUUUCUCUUUUCUUGGUGGUUGAUUGUUGAGGGAAACGGGAAUAAAACUAGCUUGUUUGAGAUUUCGGUGGCCUUCAAUUAUCAAAUUUGUAUGAAUUAUUUCAAACAGGCGCUUAUCCUCUCUCCUGGGCUUGCUGCCAGCCCUUGAAAAUGGCAAGUUGACUGUAUGUUUGCCUGGUGCUGAUCUCAGAUUUGUACCCUUCAGCUCUGGAAUCAGAUGAGGUCGAACGUUCUGAUGUUUGUUGAUAGUGGGUUAUGCAUUGGCAAUUCUUAUCCACAAUAUUUUAAAAUCUAAUAAAAAUGUAUUUUGUAGUUUGGGAAAUAAAUUUCUUAAUUUUUAUUAAUGAACAUCAAUUGAUUUAUUAGAAUUUUAGUCAUAAAUGUUAAAAUUAGAAAUUCAGGAUUAAAUAAUAUAAUUAUUAAGAAUAAUUAAAAAAUUUUAUAAAUUAAGGGAUCUUUUAGUUGGAUUUUUAAUAAUAAAUGAUAAUAAGUAAAUUGAAUAAAAUGGUAAGAAUCUAUUUUUGGUGUAUUUUCCGAUUUAGAUAUUAGUAUUUAUAUGAUUUUGCAUUAUUCUUGUGUAGUAG
rnacentral:lncRNA from 1 species